rnacentral:rRNA from 1 species
CAAACUUAAAGGAAUUGACGGGGACCCGCACAAGCGGUGGAUGAUGUGGUUUAAUUCGAUGCAACGCGAAAAACCUUACCCACCUUUGACAUGUAUGGAAGAUCGCAGAGAUGGAUUGUGCUCGAAAGAGAGCCAUAACACAGGUGCUGCAUGGCUGUCGUCAGCUCGUGUCGUGAGAUGUUGGGUUAAGUCCCGCAACGAGCGCAACCCUUGUCAUUAGUUGCUACAUUAGUUGGGCACUCUAAUGAGACUGCCGGUGACAAACCGGAGGAAGGUGGGGAUGACGUCAAGUCCUCAUGGCCCUUAUAGGUGGGGCUACACACGUCAUACAAUGGCUGGUACAAAGGGUUGCCAACCCGCGAGGGGGAGCUAAUCCCAUAAAGCCAGUCGUAGUCCGGAUCGCAGUCUGCAACUCGACUGCGUGAAGUCGGAAUCGCUAGUAAUCGUGGAUCAGAAUGUCACGGUGAAUACGUUCCCGGGUCUUGUACACACCGCCCGUCACACCAUGGGAGCGGGUUCUGCCAGAAGUAGGUAGCCUAACCGUAAGGAGGGCGCUUACCACGGCAGGGUUCGUGACUGGGGUGAAGUCGUAACAAGGUAGCCGUAUCGGAAGGUGCGGCUGGAUCACCUCCUUUAUGAG